rnacentral:rRNA from 1 species
AGAGCGAACGCUGGCGGCAUGCUUAACACAUGCAAGUCGCACGGUCGGGGGCAACCUCUGGCAGUGGCGGACGGGUGAGUAACGCGUAGGGAUCUGUCCACGGGUGGGGGAUAACCGAGGGAAACUUCGGCUAAAUACCGCAUGACACCUGAGGGUCAAAGGCUUUGGGGUAACCCGGGGUCGCCGGUGGAGGAGCCUGCGUCCGAUUAGCUUGUUGGUGGGGUAAAGGCCUACCAAGGCGAUGAUCGGUAGCUGGU